rnacentral:rRNA from 1 species
AUUGAGCGCUGGCGGCAGGCCUAACACAUGCAAGUCGAACGAGUGGCGGACGGGUGAGUAAUGUCUGGGAAACUGCCUGAUGGAGGGGGCAAAAUACUGGAAACGGUAGAUAAUACCGCAUACCCUCGGCUAUGCCGAUAGGGGUAUAGCGAGGAGGGGGGGUAAAGGCUCACAGAGGCGACGAUCCCUCGCUGGUCUGAUAGGAGGACCAGCCACACUGGAACUGAGACACGGUCCAGACUCCUACGGGAGGCAGCAGUGGGGAAUAUUGCACAAUGGGCGCAAGCCUGAUGCAGCCAUGCCGCGUGUAUGAAGAAGGCCUUCGGGUUGUAAAGUACUUGCAGCGGGGAGGCGUUACCCGCAGAAGAAGCACCGGCUAACUCCGUGCCAGCAGCCGCGGUAAUUC